AUGAUGUGGGAAGGGAUGAGGCAUCUGUGAAUGUCAUAGGAGGGGAAAAGUAGCCGAUUUGAGAGACAAGAUAUUUCUGUAGGUAUGCAGAGAUAGGGGAAUAACUGGGCCUUUCACAAGCCUCAUUCUCCUUGACCUCUCAGGAGCUGUUGACGCUACAGAGAUCACUCUCUUCUGGGGUUUGGGGACACCCUUCCUUCCUCUCUGAAUGCCCAUCUCAGCUCUGGGUACCUGCUGUCUCCUCCCCUCUACCCCCCACAUACCUGGAAUGUUCUCUCUCACUACUGGCCUCCUAGGCUUCAACUAAAUUCCAGUCAUUUAGACUGGGAGCUCCUUGUAGGCAGGGCCAGACUUUGGCCUCCAAAUUUUAAGUUCCCAGGGCUAAGCAAUCCCUGGCACAAGUUGAUUGACUGGCUUUAGUUACGUACGCUCAAUAAUACGCUCAAGAUAAACCUGGGUUCUUCUGUUACUCUGUGGUUCCAAAAGGCAUGAUGAGAAGAAGAUACACUUCUAUGAUAAAAUGAAGGAUUGAGCAUUCUGAUUCCAGGGUAAGAAGCCAUUAUUCCUCCCGCCUUUCACUGGAAAGAUGCAGUCAGUCAGUCAACAUCCACAAGAACCCUGCUACAGUCUUUGGGAUGGCUCAAGUGACCAGAGGGCUCUGGAAAGUCAUCUCUGUGCCACAAACUGGGCCAGGUUUCACUCAAUUCAAAGGUUCUGAAUCUAGACCCAGUGAAGGACUUAACAGUGUGUGGAGGUGGCCUGUGGACCAGCCAAACAAAGUGCCAAGAUCGUACCACAAGAUAAGCUGCCCUCCCUCUGUAAGCAAGUAAGGGCCCAAAGGCCAUCAAUUGAGUUACGGUGUGACUGUAAGAUAAUCGGUAGAAGAAAGAUUAUGGAAUAGUACACGAAAAUUCCUCACUAUUCUUACAACAACAACAAUUAUUUAAAUAAUAAGGUGAGGAAGUUCCUUUUGAAUACCUGGGGAAUUGUAACUAUAAAUUAAAGUUAAGUGAUGCUUAUUAAGGCUUUCAGGAUAGGUGCUUUAAAAUGUAAAUAGUUUAGGGCAAAACAAUCUCAUCCAUCUGGGGCCUUCAACUCUUUAGAACAGGUGUGAGAACCCUAAAGACAGAGGGACCAGAGAGUCUGCUUACUUUACCCACAAUUGUAACAGGUUAGUUAUAUAGUUUUCUAUAGCUGCCAAGGAGGUUGGGGGAGGGGGAAAAGGGGAGAAGGAAAGCAAAUGACAGUAAGAAAAAGGUAUCGCUGACAAUGAAGAGCCUGGGAUGAUUGUGGGUCUGCAAAUAUCAUUAUAUUACAGCAUAGUAAUUGAUGUUCAUAAUGAUGACUACUACUCAUCAAGAAAAGGUUAAAUUACAUUUUGAAUACUCAGCUUUAGAAAGCAGAGAAGUGUGUAAUAGAUUUUAGCAAGGUUUCUAUCUAAAGUGGUUAAAACAAAAUAAAAAAAGCUAGUGCUUAAAGGACA
rnacentral:lncRNA from 1 species